GUGAAUCAUCAAAUUUUUGAACGCAACUUGCACUCUCCGGUUUUCCGGGAGAGUAUGCCUGUUUGAGGGUCUGUUUAAAAAAUAAUCGAAGCUGCUGCUGUGGUGGCGCUUCGGAAUUGGGUCAUCUUCCACCUUUCGGGGUUGUAAGCGACCUAAAAUUUUUUUACGGUUUCUACGGAAGGGGCUAAAGAUUUUUCUUUUUAGG
rnacentral:misc_RNA from 1 species